UGCUGUGUAUGAUGAUUUGGAAAUAUCAAUGGGAAUCUCUCUGAACAAUAAUGAGGGAACUCUUUACACUGAAUCAGUA
ensembl:snoRNA SNORD79 Small nucleolar RNA SNORD79